AAUAGGGCCACUCAGACAGGGACACUGAGAAAAGGGGCCGUGCAUGAAGAUUCAGAGCACGAAAAGAGCACAGAAGCAGAGAACAGAAGCAGAGAACAGAAACAGGCAGAGGAGAGGUUAAUGGAAAGAGAUGGAAAGUGAGUGAAUGAGGGUGCGGACGAGAAGAUGGAGAGAGACGCAGAUAGAUGGGGCGAGAGCGAAUGGUGACACGGAGCGAGAUAUGGGCUCGGACAGACAAAGACGAGGCAGCCAGACCUGAAAUGGGGAACCUGCAGCAGGAGAGAGGGAGAGGGAAGAGAGAGACACACUUAUGUCUCUGGCCGCAAAAUGUAAAAGCUUCUGCUGCACUUAAGGUUGAGCUCACUUUGACCUGCAGGUUAAAACACACACAGUGGUUAAAAGCGAGAGCGUCCUACAGAAGGUUUUCAGAACACGUGGAUUAUUUAGUUGCCUCUUCAGACCAUGUGAGGAUGAUACGACUCUAUGAAACAAGACCUGCAGGAGAAUAAUAUCAGGCUCGCUGUAUGCUGCAGAGACGAGAUAAACAUCCAUGAACACAAAUGAACAGUGUUUGAGUGUAAAUAUAACUUUUACUACAAAGGACUGGAGGCCGGGUCCACUGCUCUCACUCGGACAAUUCACAGUUUUCCAACAGAUCUUUGAACAGAAGCCACGGAGGAUUACUUGCCUGUGGUGCUUCUUCUCUCUCCCUCUUUCUUCCUGCUCUGUGUCAUGCUGCCAUACUGCUCUUUCUCUCUAAGGACUGACUUCAAGCCGUGCUACAUGUUGAUUCUUGAGGAGCUGACUCAACAGAGGCUCAAGGACCACUUGUUGAUUUGGUGUGUGUGUGUGAGAAUUUGUGUAUGUAUGUAUAUAUGUAUAUAUAUAUAUAUAUAUAUAUAUAUAUAUAUAUAUAUAAAUUCUAUAUAUGAUCAUGCAUAUGUUUGGCUCAGACCCCACUAUCAGUGUUGUGCAGCAGAAGAAGAACGGCUGCAGCCAAUUAAUCUUAGUCCGGGCAGAGAUGGCUGGAUUUCAACCAUUUUAUGUAAAACAUGAAAUAUGAUAACCAAACUCCUGCGCAGCUGAAAAAUGAAGCUAUUUAUACAUGCCCAAAAUGUAUUCACAGCAACUUCAUGCAUGGAAGAAUAUAUAUAUAUAUAUAGGCUACGCUUUUGGCUGUUAGUCAGACUCAAACUGGAGUAAACAGUGAAUACAUGUGCUCGCAGACACAUUAAAUUUGCAUCCAGAGAGAAAUGCUUAAUGUGUCGGAAGAGUGAGGAAUUUAAAUGGAAUCAGUGGGAUGGAAACAAACAGUUAAAAAGUGACAAAGUUGGAUUUUCUGGCUGUGUUCCCCGCCAUUGUUCCUUGGUGCAUCGCCAAAAUCUGAGCAGGUCACGAGUUCAGUCACUGAUUCUGUUGUCUCUUCUGAACGCCACCACACAAACACAGUAACUCAUGUUCGGCAAUCAAUGCUAUAGUUCUCUCCCUCCCUCUCCCUCUCAAUCUACCUCUCCCUCUCUCCCUCUCAGCUCGCUGACAUGGCGAGGGGGAUAUUGGGUGGAGUCAGGUGAAGGAUUAAGGUCACUUUAAUCUAAAUUCCAGUCAAAUCAGGACUGACAGUGUAUUAACGCGUACCCAAACAUAUCCAUGUGCGAUUCUGGAAAUGAAAAGGGUUUGCCUAAAACCGGCCUAAAUCUGAGAGCUUCCAGUUACAAGGCAGUAUAAUAUAAUAUUAUACAGACCACAAGGGCAGAGUUCAACUUUAGAUAACAACAAAUGAAAAAAAUAUCAGAUUUAAAUCAGUGCUGGUUGCCAUGGCUGAGAUCAAUUAACAAGAAUAUUUUUCCAGCAAUGAUACAUUUAAAUAUGACAAAUCUAUACAAAAUUUUGAAAUUUUUCAUUGCAAUUUUAAAUUUCCUUGUGUCCUCACUUUAUUUGUGACCAUUUUGUCUCAAUACGGUUUAAUGGUUAAUUUGUUCUCUGUUCUCUGCCCCUUUUAUUUUGUGUUUAUGCUGCAUUUGUAUAAAGGACAGUAGAUCCUUACAAUGUAUAUUGUAUCUUAGUCAUUUUUAAGUGUUUUUUUUUUUUAUUAUCUAUACAUCUGUUAUUGUAUUUCUGCCACUGUGACACUUAAGUUCCGCUGCAUGGGAUCAAUAAAGUUUGUCUAACCAUUAACUAACCAUUAUUUUCAUUAACAGAUUACUUUCUCAAUUAGUCGGCUAAUUUUACAAAAUAGUGUCUUCUUUUUCACCUUCAAAUGUCUGUUUUUGCCCAAAGAAGAAGCCAAAAAAUAAAAAAAGCAAAUGUUUAAAUUUCAGAAGCUGAAACCAGUGAAUGUAAUUUUUUUUUUCGGCUCUAAAAUAGUCAACUCAUUGUUCCGUGCGAUUAACUGUGUCCCACUGUUUGUAUUACAUUAAACAGGUCAAACAAGUCUAACAUGUACAAUAAAAUUAUACAUAAACUUAUUUAGUUUUUAAUUACAAGUUUCUUGGAGUCACUAAUUUGUAAAAUGAUGACAAGAUGUGAUCUUAUCAUCCUAAUAGAUGGAAGAUAAUGAUAAUAUUGAAUUAUUGCCCAGCCCCUUGACCUAUAAAUUGGCUUAACCUUUCAAACUGAUUGAAACUGAAUGUACUGCCUCCUUCAGCACAAAGUCAGACUUGUCAGUUUGUUUAAAUCACUGACAAACAUCUACUUGCAAAUACCAUGUAUGCCAGGUUAUGAGAUAAUUAUUGAUCAUGUUCUCUA